UGGAAUAAUAGAAUAGGACGAAGUUGUUUUAUUUUGUUGGUUUCUAGGACAACCGUAAUGAUUAAUAGGGAUAGUUGGGGGCAUUAGUAUUCAAUUGUCAGAGGUGAAAUUCUUGGAUUUAUUGAAGACUAACUACUGCGAAAGCAUUUGCCAAGGAUGUUUUCAUUAAUCAAGAACGAAAGUUAGGGGAUCGAAGACGAUCAGAUACCGUCGUAGUCUUAACCAUAAACUAUGCCGACUAGGGAUCGGGCGAUGUUGUUUCCAUGACUCGCUCGGCACCUUAUG
rnacentral:rRNA from 1 species